rnacentral:tRNA from 4 species
GCCUCUGUAGCUCAGUUGGUAGAGCGGCGCAUUCGUAAUGCGUAGGUCGCAGGUUCAAGUCCUGUCAGAGGCU